rnacentral:rRNA from 1 species
ACGGGAGGCAGCAGUAGGGAAUAUUGGACAAUGGGGGAAACCCUGAUCCAGCGACGCCGCGUGAGUGAAGAAAUAUUUCGGUAUGUAAAGCUCUAUCAGCAGGGAAGAAAAUGACGGUACCUGACUAAGAAGCACCGGCUAAAUACGUGCCAGCAGCCGCGGUAAUACGUAUGGUGCAAGCGUUAUUCGGAUUUACUGGGUGUAAAGGGAGCGUAGACGGCAUGGCAAGUCUGAAGUGAAAUGCGGGGGCUCAACUCCUGAACUGCUUUGGAAACUGUCGAACUAGAGUGCAGGAGAGGUAAGUGGAAUUCCUAGUGUAGCGGUGAAAUGCGUAGAUAUUAGGAGGAACACCAGUGGCGAAGGCGGCUUACUGGACUGUAACUGACGUUGAGGCUCGAAAGCGUGGGGAGCAAACAGGAUUAGAUACCCUGGUA